rnacentral:misc_RNA from 1 species
AUUAAAGCAAGUAUCAAAAGCCAAAUAGUUAGAAGGAAUAAACAACUCAUCAAGUUGCAACAAGGGUGACUUUGGACGAACUAAUUCAACUUUCAUAUAAGGUGGAAGCAACUUCUACAUCAACCAAGUCCCAUCCAAUGGAGGAGGAGCCACCAAAGUUCCAUCCAAAGAAGGAAGAGAGCUUGCAAACUUCAUAUGUUGAAGUUAAGGACGAACCAGAAGUACCCUUGAAAAGGAAGAGCAUGAGCAAGAAUGUCUAGUGGAAGAGUGCAUUAUACAUGCUAAUAAGGGCAAGAUGUUUGCUUUGAGUCCAUGCACGAGCAAAAAAGAGGAAACCAUGGAGGAGAUAGUCAUCCUACCAUGAGCACAAAGACUCAAGUUGGUAAGAAGCAUCAUAAAAUUAUAUCUCCUUUCUUUCUAACCAUUUGCCAUGGAAUUGGAUUUUACUUUCCAAUUUGUAGGCCUACAUGAGUAUAGAAGUAUAUGUUGUGGCUUCAUCAACCUUGAUGGAGAAGUUGAAUUUGCCUAUCUUGAAGCAUCCUAAACCUUACAAGCUACAGUGGGAACAUGACAUGGAACCAAUCAAGAAUGGCAAAAAGAUUGUACUAGCGCCUCUAAGUCCAUAGCAAGUGCAAAGAGACCAUUUGGCCUUUGAGAAGAUGGAAAAGGAGAACUUUAUGAUGGACAAGGUUUGAGAAAGGGGCAAACUCUAGAUGCACAAAUUGUUGUAAUUCAUUGCAAGGUAUUGAAUUUGAGGAUAAAUCCUAUUCAAAAAAGGG